GAUGAACGCUGGCGGCGUGCCUAACACAUGCAAGUCGAACGAGAAGUCAACUUCUGAUUCCUUCGGGAUGAGGAGGUUGGCAGAAAGUGGCGAACGGGUGAGUAACGCGUGGGUAAUCUACCCUGUAAGUGGGGGAUAACCCUCCGAAAGGAGGGCUAAUACCGCAUAAUAUCUUCACUUCUAAAAGAAGAGAAGAUUAAAGAUGGCCUCUGUCUUAAGCUAUCGCUUCAGGAUGAGCCUGCGUCCUAUUAGUUAGUUGGUGGGGUAAUGGCCUACCAAGACCACAAUGGGUAGCCGGUCUGAGAGGAUGUACGACCACACUGGGACUGAGAUACGGCCCAGACUCCUACGGGAGGCAGCAGUGGGGAAUAUUGCGCAAUGGGGGAAACCCUGACGCAGCGACGCCGCGUGGAUGAUGAAGGCCUUUGGGUUGUAAAAUCCUGUUUUGGGGGAAGAAACCUUAAGGGUCCAAUAAACCCUUAAAC
rnacentral:rRNA from 1 species